rnacentral:rRNA from 2 species
GGGUUGUGAGGUUAAGCGACUAAGCGUACACGGUGGAUGCCCUGGCAGUCAGAGGCGAUGAAGGACGUGCUAAUCUGCGAUAAGCGUCGGUAAGGUGAUAUGAACCGUUAUAACCGGCGAUUUCCGAAUGGGGAAACCCAGUGUGUUUCGACACACUAUCAUUAACUGAAUCCAUAGGUUAAUGAGGCGA